rnacentral:ncRNA from 1 species
CUUCGGGAGAUGGCAUGCCUCCCGUCGUCGCGGCGCAAGGCCCGGCGAGCAACCGCCCCCCGUGGGCUGAUGAUGCCUGCACA